rnacentral:rRNA from 1 species
UACAGAGGUGGCAAGAGUUGUUCGGAUUUACUGGGCGUAAAGGGCGCGUUGGCGGUCUUGUAAGUCCCGUGUGAAAGCCCCCGGCUCAACUGGGGAAUGGCACGGGAAACUGCGAGGCUUGAGUUCGGGAGAGGGAAGCGGAAUUCCGGGUGUAGCGGUGAAAUGCGUAGAUAUCCGGAGGAACACCGGUGGCGAAGGCGGCUUCCUGGACCGACACUGAAGCUGAGGCGCGAAAGCUAGGGGAGCAAACGGG